rnacentral:tRNA from 1 species
GGGGAGAUACUCAAGCGGCCAACGAGGGCAGACUGUAAAUCUGCUGACUAUGUCUUCACAGGUUCGAAUCCUGUUCUCCCCACUA